rnacentral:tRNA from 1 species
GGGCCCAUAGCUCAAUUGGUAGAGCNNAGAGCCACCGGCUCAUAACCGGUAGGUCCCUGGUUCGAACCCAGGUGGGCCCACUA